CAGAAGCCAUUAUUUCGGGGUCUCUUUAAAAAUGGAGCGCCCAUCUCUCUCUCUUUUUCCCCCCUCCCUCCCUUUUCCCCUCCCUCCCCACCACACCACCCCCAGUGAAAUCCUGGCACCCUGAGAGCGCUCUUUUCAAGCCAGAGAUCCCCGAACCAGCCGUUGUCCCCUGGCAAAAGAGGCCCAGUGCUGCGUUCUGGGCCAGUGUCUGCAGACACGCUUGCCCCUCCUCCCCUACUAGCUUCCCUUACCAACAGAAACCGUUUCCUUUUGCCACCAAAAACUAGGUUGCAUCCAAAAGUUUCUCACAAGCUUAAAAAAGAAAAAACGAAACACUGACGACCAUUACACAGAAGAGCCCACAAAAGCUGCAGCAGCACCAGGGGUGAAGAAGCAGCGACAGACCCAGCAACCUGCAAGCCUGAAGGCUGUGAGGGAUUUUGCCUUUGCAAGCUGACAUGUUCAUUUCCAUGUUAUAACACUUAUUAAGCAUCUGAACUCAUUUAUCUUCUUAACCAUCCUAUGAUACAGGAUCCUAUUAAGAAUGGACCCUCGGUGUUUAUGCUGCUUUUGUGCCUGAUUAACAAGAAUAAAGCAGUCAGUUUCACCCUCCCCACUAACUCUCCUCGUACAGGGCUGCCAACACCGCAGGGGAAAGAAGACAAAAAGAAGAAAGCCCUGCAAACAAAAGUAAAUGGAGACCAUACAUACAUAGAAAUAACUCCAACACAUGGUUAAAUAUUCUACUUUUUUAAAUUAAAAAAAUGUAUGUCUAUUUUUUACCUAGGCAUCUAGGUAUA